rnacentral:rRNA from 1 species
UACGUAGGGUGCAAGCGUUAUCCGGAAUUACUGGGCGUAAAGCGUGCGCAGGCGGUUUGUUAAGUCUGAUGUGAAAGCCCCGGGCUCAACCUGGGAACUGCAUUGGAAACUGGCAAGCUCGAGAAUGGCAGAGGGGGGUGGAAUUCCGCGUGUAGCAGUGAAAUGCGUAGAGAUGCGGAGGAACACCGAUGGCGAAGGCAGCCCCCUGGGCCAAUACUGACGCUCAGGCACGAAAGCGUGGGGAGCAAACAGG